rnacentral:ncRNA from 1 species
AGGAAUCGUUUGAGAUCCCUGAGAGAUGAUCAGGUGAUAGGCUCUAGGUGUAAGCACAGUAAUGUGUUCAGCCGAGGAGUACUAAUGCAUCAAGAAUUUCUUAGUA